CAAUUUCCUGUCGCACCGUAUAAAUAAAUGUACAUGUGCAGCGGCGUUGUAUACUGCAUGUUGGUAAGACCAGAUAUCAGUACUCGUCAAGCCAAGGUUAGUCAAGGCCACGGGUGCGCUGUCCACUUUGCAGGCAAGCUCACGGCCUCACGGGAGGCCGACGAAGUCGUAGCAGAGAUCCGAUACAUGGGAGAGGAAGAGGGCGCGCCCACCGUGGCAGCAGCGGCAGAGAGCGCUCCGCCGCACCUGCUCCUGAUAUGCUUCCCGGGGCAGGGCCACGUGAACCCGAUGCUCCGCCUGGCCAAGCGCAUCGCGGCCAAGGGCCUCCUGGUGACCUUCUCCUCGAUCUCCAGAGUCGGGGCGAUGCUCGCCGCGUCCGUGGGCGUGUCGGCCGGCGGUGACGGCGUGCCUGUGGGCCGGGGCCGCGUCCGGUUCGAGUUCAUGGACGAUGAAGACCCCGGGCCUGACCUGGACGACCUCUUGCGGCACCUCGCGAAGGACGGCCCGCCGGCGUUUGCCGAGCUGCUGGAGCGGCAGGCGGACGCCGGGCGGCCUGUGGCGUGCGUGGUGGUAAACCCGUUCAUGCCGUGGGCGGUCGACGUGGCCGCCGACGCGGGGAUCCCUUCGGCGGUGCUGUGGGUGCAGUCGUGCGCGGUGUUCUCCCUCUACUACCACCACGUGCACGGCCUCGUGGAGUUCCCUCCCGAGGACGACCUGGACGCGCGGUUCACGCUGCCUGGCCUCCCCGAGAUGUCCGUCGCCGACGUUCCGUCGUUCCUGCUCCCGUCCAACCCGUACAAGCUGCUGGUGGACGCGAUCAUCGCCCAGUUCCACACCAUCGACCGCGCGUCGUGGGUGCUCGUCAACUCCUUCACGGAGCUGGAACCCGACGUGGCGGCGGCGCUCCCGGGCGUGACGCCGCGGCCGCCAGAGCUCAUCCCCGUGGGCCCGCUCAUCGAGGUCGACGAGCAGCACGACGGCGACGGCGACGGCGCGGGGUCGGGCGCGGUGCGUGGCGACCUGAUGAAGGCCGCGGACGACUGCGUGGAGUGGCUAGACGCGCAGGCGCCGCGCUCCAUGGUGUACGCAUCGGUGGGCAGCGUGGUACGGCUCAACGCGGAGGAGGUGGGCGAGAUGGCGCACGGGCUCGCGUCCACGGGGCGGCCCUUCCUGUGGGUUGUCCGUCCCGAUACCCGGCCGCUCCUCCCAGAGGGAUUCCUGGACUCCGUGGCCGGGCGCGGCACGGUGGUGCCGUGGAGCCCCCAGGACCGCGUGCUGGCGCACCCGUCCAUCGCCUGCUUCCUGACGCACUGCGGCUGGAACUCUACCCUGGAGACCAUCGCAGCGGGCGUACCAGUGGUGGCCUUCCCGCAGUGGGGCGACCAGUGCACUGACGCCAAGUUCCUGGUGGAGGAACUCAGGAUUGGGGUCCGCCUCCGCGGGCCGCUGCGGCGGGACGCCGUGCGGGAGGCGGUAGACGCCGCCGUGGCGGGGCCCGAGGCCGACGCGAUGCUCGCCAACGCCAGGAGGUGGAGCGCGGCGGCGCGGGAGGCCGUGGCGCUCGGCGGGUCCUCGGACGCGCAUAUCCAAGCGUUCGUGGACGAGGUGGCCCGGCGAGCAUGUGUCGUGCCGCCGUCGUCAGAGAUUCCUAGUCCUAGUUGAGGUCGAGGAGCUUCAGCAGUCACCCUCACCGGACAAAGAUGUUAACGAGACUCGAGAGGAGGAGGCGAGGGGUGAGGAUGCGGCUGAUUACGAUGCGGCCGAUGCAGACUAUGAGCAGGAAGAUGAUGCUGGAGGUGGAGGUGGAGAUGGGUGGUCUUCCGGUGGUGGUCAGUUUGAGGGUGGAUGGUCAGCAGGCGGAUGGGACUCAUGGCCUAGCAGUGAUGCUGGAGCUUCUAGUGGUGGAGGGUCUUCUCGGGCACGGAAGUCGAGGAAAACACAUUGGGUGCCUCCUCCUAAAGUUCCUGCUCGUGAGGAGGAUAAGAUUUUGAUCGUACCGUGUGGCGACGAGUCUUGGAUUGAUGCAUCUUUUCAAGGUCAAGGACGUCGCACACAGGUGAAUAAAGUUUUGGGAAGUAUAUGCAAAUAUCUCUGGCCUGGUGUAGUGAUGGAGAAAGGCGUUGAGGUGCCUUGUAUGUCUUGGGAUCAGUACGGGCUCGCGUUCAAUGCGGAACAUAGGAAUGCCCAAGGUGCUGUGUGGCAUGAGUUCUGGAAACGUUACAAGUUGCCUGAAGAUGGAAGUAUGAACGAUCGUGCACGGAUCGUUUUUAACAAGAGCGCGACUACCUUGGUUAGGGAUCAGAUGUAUUAUGCUCGGAUCCAGGCCACUUCUGAUUACAUAUUAAGGCAGGAAGGACGUCGGCCACGUUCCAAAAGUGAGGCAUCAAACAAAUACUUAACCGAAGAAGAAUAUCUUGAGUUUUCAGACUCGGUGCCAUGGAUGGCAUCAAAUGAGGCUGGUUGGCGGGCUGUAUGCAAAUAUUGGGCAACAGAUGGAUUUAAAGGUGUUUCAAUGAGAAACAGCUCAAAUCGUGGGCAUGAUGUUCACCACAGAUAUGGUGGUGAUGGCCACGUUCGUUUGGCAAAGCGCAUGGAAGCUAGUUCUGGUGUUACGCCGAGUGAUGUUCAGGUUUACCUUAGAGGUCACAGGGGGUCGGAUCCUACAAAUCCAGAACAGUUGUGUUCUCAGUCAGCUGCUGAGCGUGUGGCCUCAUAUGGUGCUUCCAUGAUGUCGGAGCAUGGGCAAGACUAUGAUUGGAUGAAUCAGCCUAUCGAUCCUCAGGUUGUGUAUGCUAGUGGAGGCGGAAAACCUCAUGGACGUUACCCCAUGUUUGGUAGUGUUAUCGACUCGACUCAGGUGAGGCCUGAAAGGUCUCGUCCAUCGAGGUCGUCUAGCCGUGGUCCUCGCUCUAGUACCCAAGGAAACGCCGAGCUGAUCCGGAUGCAGGAAGCUUUGAGGCGGCAGGAGGAGUAUAACAAGCAACAACAAGAGUACUGGGCUGCUCAAUUUGCACGACAGCAGGAGAUGAUGCAGCAAAUAGCACUAGGGCAACGUCCAGAUUUUUCAGCGAUGACUAUGCCACCUCCUCCACCUAUCCCGCAGUUUGUACCGACUCCACAAUUUAGUUGGCCCACACCUGCACCUCAG